UACGUAGGGGGCUAGCGUUGUCCGGAAUCAUUGGGCGUAAAGAGCGUGUAGGCGGCCCGGUAAGUCCGCUGUGAAAGUCGGGGGCUCAACCCUCGAAUGCCGGUGGAUACUGUCGGGCUAGAGUGCGGAAGAGGCGAGUGGAAUUCCUGGUGUAGCGGUGAAAUGCGCAGAUAUCAGGAGGAACACCCAUGGCGAAGGCAGCUCUCUGGGACGGUACUGACGCUGAGACGCGAAAGCGUGGGGAGCGAACAGG
rnacentral:rRNA from 1 species